CCUUUGUACCAGGAGAGAGUCACAUGACUCACAUUCACAGCUGAACACACCAAUGAACAAUUUGAUGAUGAUGAUGAAGAACAUUGUGAAGAGUUACUGCUGAUGACAGGAACAGGCAGACGAGCUGGAAAACAUGAAUAAAAAGAAGGUUUCAGUGAGAUGCCUCCUGUGGCUUGAGGAACUGAUGUCUACUCUACACCUGGAACAAAAUAGAUACCUUUUGAAAGGCAAUAUUGGACAAUUCCACAUGAUUUGGGACCCUUUCAUCUGCUACCUCAGAAGGAAUGUUAUUCCUUAAUGCAGUGUAUUGUAAGCUAACUGAAGUGUUGUGUAUUAAUGUCACUGGAUUGUAUAUUAACAGGCGGGAAACGGGGUGUAGGUUAUACUUAAUGGAUUUUUUAUUUAUUUAUUUAUUUUCUUAGUUUAUUUAUUUUGUGCAUAUAAGAAAAUUAAUCCUGGAAUCUGUAAUUAUUU